AUCCAGCUGACGAGUCCCACAGGGGACGAAACGCGCAUCUUGGAU
rnacentral:hammerhead_ribozyme from 1 species